GAAGAAAACCCCCCACUAGUUUAUCCCCCCCCCUCCUAAGGCUUACCUUAGGCCAGGGAGGGGGGACUCCUGAUCCUUGGUGGUCCCAGGCACCAAGUGAGAUAAGCUGAGCCUAAUACAAGAGAUGAAGCUGAGUGUGAGAGGCAGAGCCUAGUGCCCAGUUGCGCCUCGAAUCUGCAGAGGGCUUGGACGCUUUGCACCCGACAAGGAUCAGGCCUGCGUAAUGCAUAUGUGAGCAUUCAAACUCAUUGAGUCAAUGCUUUUCUAUGGGGCUUCCGUGUCAUGUGCAGCGGAAGCGCCUCUAGUGACUGUCAUAGUGGAGGACUUAACCCGGCAUUGCAAAUAUUGCAGUUUCUAC